GUGGCCAGGCGAAGCCGGCGAGCACGGCGGCGCGACGCAGGGUUGCACGAUGCGACCAGCGACAAACAUAGCGCCGGCGGCCUUGCUCACCACGAAUCCAUUAUGCGGUUGAUUCGGGCGGAAGAGGGCUGGAGAGGCGGAUCGAUGUGCGGGGAAAAAGCUUGACCGGCAUCAAAGGUGGCCGGUGGUGGAUAGGCCGAUUUCGACUGAUUCAGCCGGGGAGGAGCUUGGCUGCGGGCUGUGAAAGGUAGAACAAGAGCUCCUUAUUAAUACAUGCCGGAAGCUGUCCGGGUCUUUCGAAAAAAAAAAAGAAAGGUAGAACAAGAGCACGGGAGGGCAGGAGAGGUGCGUGCCGAGCGAGAUGGCGAGUCCGCCUGCUCGGUAUAGCUUGCGAGCGAGAAUCGGGGGAUGCCGAGCGGGAUACUGAGCCGCGCAAGAUGGAGAGGCUAUUGGAUCCUGAUUUAUUGGGAAUUUACCUUCACUUAUUUCUGCUACUUGCCCAACAUCUGGAACUACUAGAUUGGAAACUUUUGAAUCAUGCAAGGACCAAUGAUUUUGCUUUCAGCUCAAGAGCUCUGAAUUAUAGAGCAGUCAGCAGCUACUCUAUUCUACCAUUUUUUCAGUUUCUUGCUCUGGCUUGCAAGUGCCUGCCUGGAACGGCACCCUGCAUCUGCGUGCUCCGUGACACGGUGGACCACGCCGGCGGCGAUUCCACGCAGGUGCUCGCUCUUCGUCCGACUCGAACCCACCCCGCACCAAGUCCGGCCGCUGCGCCGCCUGCGGCCACGUCGAGGGCAGUCUUCUUCAAGAUCAGGGGCGUCGCCAUUUCAACCCUUCGAUUGGUUCCGACUUCAGAAGUUCAGAGCUGAGGCCUGAGAAAUCGACAGCUGAACAUCUGAGUACCACCGCACACUACACGAGCGUAGCCAUGAUUAGGAAGCUAUGGAUGCUUGCAGACCGGAAGAAGGAAGAAGAGGUACGUAAGAGAAGCCCGCCGUGAGGCGGCGCUCCCUCCGGCGAGCGGCGGCGGACGAGUGGACGAUUAGUCUAUCAUCAGGAACUUUUGCAAACACCCCCUCGAUAUUUGCAAAAUGCCCUCUGAAAAUUUCAUAUAGGCCCCUGGUUUCCCGCUGCUCCAUCGGCGCCGCGCCCGCAGCAGCUGCCGCCGCCGUCCUCGGGUCCCCGCCGGAGAGGGCGAGCGCGCGGACAGAUGAGGCGCGGCGCGGCCGACCCGCAUCGCCGCGUCCCAUCCAUCGCGUUUCUCACGAGGGGAUCGGAGAUGGAGGAAACGAAGCGGCGACGAAGGGGGCGGCGCGAUGCAGCUGACCGGCGGCGAGGAGCCGGAGCAGUUCGAGGCCGCCGCCGCCCCCCGCCGGCCGAGGCGCGGGGCGGGGUACAUGGAGCGGUGCGCGCUGGGCGCUGCCAGCGGGUGCGGUUCGUCGGCCGCCGGCAACCUAGCCCGUCGGUCUUGGACAUGACGCCAAAAUGGAAUGACCUUGUUCAGAUGAGUCUACUGGCAAGGUGAUCAGCAACAAAUCGGCUGGGGAAGACCUACACGAAAACGUCAAUUGUGUCAGUGUUCCUCCCAGAUACAGGAACAGUCACAAAUGCUGGAUUGUCUGGUCGGAUUGAAGCCAAGCUGAUUAUUUUCUCCUUUUCCUCAUCGCUUAGCCGGUUGGCGAUCCUUGAGUAGUAGUAGUAGUUGGAGUUGGUAUGCUCUUCACCACUUUCCUCUUCGCCAAUAGCAUCAUGCUUAACACUGCUACUUUUUGGAGAUUCAAGUAUUUGCCCUGUGAAGAUAAUGUGCAGUAUCAGUAUGUCUAUCAGCUUAUGUAUAUGAAAAUGAUCAAUGGAGACACAACAUUGCUGACAAAUUAUUUCAGAUGGUGUAAACUUGUAGUCACUCUACUUACUUGGCUUCCUGCUACCAGGUUUCUUUGAAGUAGAGGCAUGAUGAGGGAAUCCAGCCAGGACCAGUACUGUUACCAAACAGAGAAGAAACCUUCUCGUAGCCGCUUGCUUCAAAGAUCAGGACAUCAGAGGAAGAGUUGCCACUGCAUGUGAAGACAAGGAGGUCAUUCUCCCGCAGUCUAUGAGCCUUGACGAAAUCCUCCCAUCUAGACACGAGGCACAGCUCAUCGACAUGCUUGUCCACGCCGAUGUUCCAUGUUUCACCGCUGGGCGCUUUCAGGGAACAGGGGUGAUUGGAUGCCGACACUUACAAUGCCCUGGGCGAAAUCUCCGGUCAUGAGCUUGAAGAAGCGGAUCUUGGUCACAUCCAGGCACAAGUAAAAUGGUUUUUGAUCUCUCAAAUGGGAGUUUGUCAAGCUUCAUGUCUUGCUGCAGCUCCAACACACUGCUAAAUCGUACGUCAUGGCUCAACUUCUUGGGGCCGCAGCCGCUGGAUCAGCGUCCGCCAAGGAUGUGGACGUUCAUGGCGAGCUUGCCGUCGUCCUCGCCGCCGCCGCCGAGCGGCUGGAACAGGCACAGGUCGCCCUGCCGCAGCGCGUUGUCGUCGACAAACUGCUUCCACCCGCGGCGGAGCUGGUGCACCUUGCCCUCGUUCCUGACUUGCAACUCAGCCUCCCAGCUGCAGCUCACGCCGGGCCGCCGCAGCCGCACCGUCUGCCGCACCCGAGGGAGGUGCUCCAUGGCGAAGUCCUUGUUGAAGCACUGCAUUUUUUUUUUUUGCCCAGGUGACACGAAUCAGAUCAUUGCUGAAGGAUUUUCAUAUACCUUUGAUUCAGGCACUGGAAGUCUGAAAGAACUGUAUUUGUGGGCUAAAGAAAUGGUACUGGACUGGACUGGACUUACCAAGCUGUCGUUUCCACGCUUCUUGGCCGUCACAAAGACGAAGGGACGGUGACGCGCCCAAUUCUGCAAGGGAAGUUUCAGCCCCAAAGCAUUGUGAACCGCCAUCAGACAUUCAGAGUUACAACUGAUACAAUGGAAUGUGCAGAGUUAGCGUUGCAUCACCUGGUGGACUGUAGCUUCCGUGGAGAGGAUGGACUGACACUGUCACUCGCCCCUCGCUCAUCGAUGCUUCGAAUGCGCAGGCAUCGCCAUCCUGCAGCUCGUUGCCGCGAGCCAAGCUCCGCCAGCCAGUGGAGAAGAUGUAGGCGCCGUCAGCGGAGAUCUUCAGAUUUGCAUCCCGUUUCCUGCUACCAGGAGGGUGACACAGCGUGAUGGUUUGGUCUUCAUGUGGGAGGUACUUGUCAGAGUAGUCCUUGCAAAUGACCUGUCCAAUGACCCGGUGGUUAAACCAAAUUAUCUGAACAAUUCAGAGUGCUGGUGUUUCAACAGUUUCGAACAGAUUUUGUAACAAAACAAUCUGAACAAUGAACAUUGAGUAACAGAAGCUGCAGGUUGAGCCAUUGGUUGUAAGAAAAACAUACCAUAUAUCCAUUACACAGAUUGGUCUUGUUCAGGUUUGUGACAUACAAUGGAA